rnacentral:rRNA from 1 species
AACGAACGUUGGCGGCGUGGAUUAGGCAUGCAAGUCGAACGAGAACCACUGGGCAACUGGUGGGGAAAGUGGCGAAAGGGGCAGUAAUGCGUGGGUAACCUACCCUGGGGAUCGGAAUAGCCAUCCUAACGGAUGGGUAAUACCGAGCGAUGUAACGAGGGGGCAUCUUCUUGAUACCAAAUGAAUUUCGCCCUGGGAGGGGCUCACGUCGUAUUAGCUUGUUGGUGAGGUAACGGCUCACCAAGGCAAAGAUGCGUAGCGGGUGUGAGAGCACGACCCGCGCCACUGGCACUGAGACACUGGCCAGACUCCUACGGGAGGCUGCAGUCGAGGAUCUUCGGCAAUGGGCGCAAGCCUGACCGAGCGACGCCGCGUGUGCGAUGAAGGCCUUCGGUUGUAAAGCACUGUCGAGGGGGAGGAAGCUCCGCAAGGAGUUGACUAAUCCCUGGAGGAAGCACGGGCUAAGUUCGUGCCAGCAGCCGCGGUAA